UACAGAGGUCUCAAGCGUUGUUCGGAUUCAUUGGGCGUAAAGGGUGCGUAGGCGGCGCGGUAAGUCGGAUGUGAAAUCUCGGAGCUUAACUCCGAAACUGCAUUCGAUACUGCCGUGCUUGAGGACUGGAGAGGAGACUGGAAUUUACGGUGUAGCAGUGAAAUGCGUAGAGAUCGUAAGGAAGACCAGUGGCGAAGGCGGGUCUCUGGACAGUUCCUGACACUGAGGCACGAAGGCCAGGGGAGCAAACGGG
rnacentral:rRNA from 1 species